GAUGAAGAACGUAGUGAAAUGCGAUACGUAAUGUGAAUUGCAGAAUUCAGUGAAUCAUCGAGUCUUUGAACGCACAUUGCGCCCCCUGGUAUUCCGGGGGGCAUGCCUGUCCGAGCGUCAUUGCUGCCCUCAAGCACGGCUUGUGUGUUGGGCCUCCGUCCUCCUCCCGGGGGACGGGCCCGAAAGGCAGCGGCGGCACCGCGUCCGGUCCUCGAGCGUAUGGGGCUUCGUCACCCGCUCUUGUAGGCCCGGCCGGCGCUUGCCGACACAUCAAUCUUUUCUCCAGGUUGACCUCGGAUCAGGUAGGGAUACCCGCUGAACUUAAGCAUAUCAAUAAGCGGAGGA
rnacentral:misc_RNA from 1 species